AGGCACGUAGCUCAGCGGGAGAGCACUACCCUGACACGGUAGGGGUCACGAGUUCAAUCCUCGUCGUGCCUACCA
rnacentral:tRNA from 1 species